rnacentral:lncRNA from 1 species
UCAUGGGGGCAGUUACCCUCAUGCUGUCAUCCUGAUAGUGAAUGAGUUCUCACAAGAUCUAAUGGUUCGACAAUGGGGCUUUCUCCUCUUUUGCUUGGCAAUUCUCCUUUCUGCUUCCAUGUGAAGAAGGACACAUUUGCUUCCCUUUUUGCCAGAGUUGUAAGUUUCCUGAGGUCUCCCCAGCUAUGCUAAACUAUAUGUGCAUGGCUGUUUUUCUUUCAGCACAGACAUCACCUCCUAAGAAAGGCAUUCCGUGCCAGACUGAGAGACAUGAGAAAUACCUCAAAGUGAUACGAAGUUGAUAGACCCCUGCCACACAAAUACAACACUGAAGAUGGAUUUUCAUCAAACGUGGAGGCCCUGCAGUUGUUAAACUUUAUUUCUACUGGAAUACCACUGUUCCAUUGAAUCAGCAUUAUCUGUGCAGUGGGCAAGAAGAACCCAUCAGGUGAUUACAUAAUUCUAUGAAUUU